GGAGGAGUGGCCGAGUGGCUUAAGGCGGCGGUCUUGAAAACCGNNGUUCGAAUCCUACCUCCUCCGCCA
rnacentral:tRNA from 1 species